UUCACAAUCCGUUUCAAUCCUUGUCAUCUUUGGCAAUAUGCUUGUAUUAAGACACUAUUACAGUCAUUUGUGAAGUAUACUACGCUAUUGUGAUGUUUUUGGCGCUUUUGUCUGUAUGGAAAGUUAACUGAUACGAAUAUUGUUAGAUCAUGCUGUGUGAUCUGACAAGCUGUUUGUCUUGCAUUCAAAUAUCCACUCUUAAACAUUAGCUUAUCUUGUGCAACAUCUUUAGGAGUAAAAAAAAAAAUAACCUUAAGGUUUAUCGAGUCUGAAGUGUAAUUUACCAGCAUAAUUAUUUUAAACAUAAUUUAACACCUGCUGCUGUUUAGCUUAGCAGCUAGCUAUUGCUCUCUAGCUUGCUAUUGCCCUGUAAUGCCCCACAUGUUACUCAAAAUAUGUAUUAUAUUUUUUGUAAUGGGCGUCACUAUUGGCCAGUCCUGAAUAUCACCUUUGAAAAGCCAUGUUUGCCGAUAUUGUGAGAAAAGGUUCAUCUCUGUUUUUCAACUUGACAGAUGGUUACCCCCUGUGCUAGUGGAAGAUGUGACUUUGAAGACAGUCAUUGUAAAAGGUGCAAAAGGCUUGUCUAAGAUAAGCUGGCAGUCUACACCGCAUGGCCUGCGUUGCUGACAUUAAGUGAAGUUAAUGCAGAGUUCCUGUGCCUGACAGAUACUUGAGGAAGCAUCUUGGAGGUUGUCAAGGAGAAGGGAGGCGUUGCCAGAAGGAAGGACUGGAGUGGCGAAGUGAUCCAAAGGCAGACUGCACAUCUACGUAUAUGGUUUGCAAGGAACAUCCCGUGCCAGAGACUGUGAUACAAGGCAUGGAGCUGUACAGUGAACUCGGAGCAUCUCUUGUGCAUGUGUGAUGCUGUUUGGACUCGGUUACCGGUAUAUACCCUCAAUCUCAACUCUGUGGAUUUGGAUUUACAAUUUUAAGUAUCCAGAUGAACUGAAAUAUAUGUUCUGGUGAAUUUGGAAAAUAUGCCCAAAAGGUCCAAUCACUAUAAACUACAGUAAAUAUGUUGGACACUGGCAAUCUCAGGUUCUAAGCCAUUGUAUAAAAGGACAAUCCAUCGCAUUUCUAUUAAUACUUUUGUGUGCUGUUCUCUGAUCUGAGUUGAUGAUUUUUUUGUCCUUUUUUGUCUUUUGUCAGCAUGGCAUUGAGGGGCUUUUUUCUAAACAUUGGCUAUGCAGAUUAAAAGAUGAGCACUAUAAGGAAAGGCGUAAUAACGCCUCAGUAGCACUUCAUGGACACAUUGAUAUCAUAAUUAAAAACAUUUCUCUCUCCCUCUCCUCCCCCACUUUGAGAAAGAAUCAAAGAGUCAAAAGUGCUCCUGCGGGCAGUUGGUUAAUUCUAAAAUGUCCAUUCACAAAUAACAUCUUUUUCAUGAAUGUCUAAGUAAAUAAGUGAGUAAAUAGACACAUACUGUUCUGAUGAGAGUAUGCUUUUCGGCCAAAGAUAUCUGACUGCAUAUCUGACCCAAGGGAUUAUGACAUUACUUAGAAUUUGAUGGUGGUUGUAAGCAUUCAUGAAAAAGAUGACAUUUCUGAACAGGCCACAUUAAUUAAUGUGUUACAGUACACUGAUAAUUUCAGGUUUUCUGUUUAAUUUCUGUUUAAUCAUACGAUUAUAUUGUCAAGAUUUUGGUGUUUUAUUAUCGUUUGACUGCAUGUUUGUCCAGCUGAUGAAAUAUUAAUAAAAGAAAUGUUUUGAA